rnacentral:rRNA from 1 species
GACGAACGCUGGCGGCGUGCUUAACACAUGCAAGUCGAACGGAAAGGCCCUGCUUUUGUGGGGUGCUCGAGUGGCGAACGGGUGAGUAACACGUGAGUAACCUGCCCUUGACUUUGGGAUAACUUCAGGAAACUGGGGCUAAUACCGGAUAGGAGCUCCUGCUGCAUGGUGGGGGUUGGAAAGUUUCGGCGGUUGGGGAUGGACUCGCGGCUUAUCAGCUUGUUGGUGGGGUAGUGGCUUACCAAGGCUUUGACGGGUAGCCGGCCUGAGAGGGUGACCGGCCACAUUGGGACUGAGAUACGGCCCAGACUCAUACGGGAGGCAGCAGUGGGGAAUAUUGCACAAUGGGCGGAAGCAUGAUGCAGCAACGCCGCGUGCGGGAUGACGGCCUUCGGGUGGUAAACCGCUUUCGCCUGUGACGAAGCGUGAGUGACGGUAAUGGGUAAAGAAGCACCGGCUAACUACGU